rnacentral:tRNA from 1 species
AGGGUCGUAGUUUAAAAAGAAUAUUAAUUUAGCAUUUUAAUGGUUGAGGCUCUA